AUAUUUACCUGGUAGGAAUAGUAUCAUGAUCACAAAGGUGGUUUUCCCCAGGGCACGAUUUCACUGCACUCCCAGAUGUGCUGAAUCUGCGAUUUCCCCAAAUGUGGGAAGCUGGGCUGCAUAAUUUGUGGCAGCAGGGAACUGCAUUUACACUAUCCCCCG